CUGGCGGCAUGUNUAAAGCAUGCACGUCUGGGCAGAACCUUCGGGGGAAACCGGCGAAAGGGCGAGUAAUGCGAUCGAACGUACCCCAAUGUGGGGGAUAGCGUCGGGAAACUGGCGGUAAUAUCCCGUGUGCUCUACGGAGGAAGUUGGGAGCGGCGAUCGUCCUAUCAGGUUGUUGGCGGGGUAAAGGCCCACCAAGCCGAAGACGGGUAGCGGGUGUGAGAGCAUGGCCCGCCGCAUCGGGACUGAGACACUGCCCGGACUCCUACGGGAGGCUGCAGCGACGAAUCUUCCGCAAUGCGCGAAAGCGUGACGGAGCAAUGCCGCGUGUAGGAUGAGGGCGCUCUGCGUCGUAAACUACUGUCAGACCCUAGAACCAACGAUCAGGGUCAGAGGAAGGGCCGGCUAAACUCGUGCCAGCAGCCGCGGUAAUACGAGUGGCCCAAGCGUUAAUCGGAAUCACUGGGCUUAAAGCGUGCGCAGGCGGACCUUCAGGCGUCCCGUGAAAUACCCCGGCUCAACCGGGGAAUGGCUGGGCGAACCGUUGGUCANGAGGCAGGUAGGGGGGUCCAAAACUGUCGGUGGACCGGUGAAAAUGCCU
rnacentral:rRNA from 1 species